UACGAAGGGCCCAAGCGUUGUUCGGAAUCACUGGGCGUAAAGGGAGCGUAGGCGGCGUGGUAAGUCAGAUGUGAAAUCCCGGGGCUCAACCCCGGAACUGCAUCCGAUACUGCCAUGCUUGAGUGUUGGAGAGGUAGCUGGAAUUCUCGGUGUAGCAGUGAAAUGCGUGGAUAUCGAGAGGAACACUCGUGGCGAAGGCGAGCUACUGGACAACAUCUGACGCUGAGGCUCGAAGGCUAGGGGAGCAAAAGGG
rnacentral:rRNA from 1 species